CGGCCAUAUAACCUCGGGGUUCAGUCGGUCGGGAUGGAUACGCCCGACAUACCCCCAGUCGGCGAUGGGCCGUUGGACGGCCGGCGGUUAGCCGCUGAUGGCAUCCGUCAGUCGGUCGCCCCGACCGACGAUCGGUCGGUCUGUCGGCCAGUCGGAGUCGUCCAACGGAGGCGGUCAGGCCGUCAGCCGGUCGGGCGGUCGGGCCCUCCGGCAGUCGGUCGGGCCCCCCGGC
rnacentral:lncRNA from 1 species